UACGGGGGGGGCAAGCGUUGUUCGGAAUUACUGGGCGUAAAGGGCUUGUAGGCGGCCAACUAAGUCCGACGUGAAAUCCCCAGCUUAACCUGGGAACUGCGUCGGAUACUGGAUGGCUUGAAUUCGGGAGAGGGAUGCAGAAUUCCAGGUGUAGCGGUGAAAUGCGUAGAUAUCGUGGAGGAAUACCGGUGGCGAAGGCGGCAUCCUGGACCGACAUUGACGCUGAGGAGCGAAAGCUAGGGAGCAAACGGG
rnacentral:rRNA from 1 species